CCUAUCACCAAGGGUUAGCUGAUGUUUCUGUCUGCCAUGGCUUGUAACUACAAGAAUAGACUUUUGCUGCUGAAUCAAAUCAAUAACAAGCUUUAGUGAAAUUCCCAUACAUAUCCAGCCCUGGGUUAAGUGCUGGGGAUACCAAAAAAACUGUCCCUGUCCUCAAAAAGUUUACAAUUAAAUAGAGGAAACACGCAAUCAACUUUAUACAAACAAUACAUACGCAGAAUAAAGUAAAAUGAGUUGUUUGUUUGUUUGUUUUUUCCGUCGUGGUAAUUCUGGAAUCAGAAGUGGGAUGUUCUAAAUACAAAAAGAUGAGAACCGGAUGUCUGUUCCCUUCCCCCACUCUUCCUCCUUUUGGCAGAUGUAAGGUCAGUGUUUUUCUCUCAUCUCAGCUGAGUCUUCCCACCUGCAGUGUGAUUGAACCCAGUCCUGUUCAGCAAUGUGACUGUGAGCCAAUUAUCUAUCAUUCAGUAUGAAUCUAUGAAGAGGACAGGUCUUUUUGAAAAACUAUGAAGAGGAGUGAACUGAAUGCUAAACUUGUGUUUCUGAAAGUAAAGUCAUCUGCUAUCAAAGAGGUGGUUUGAAGUAAUCUGAUCUUUAUCAUAGACAAAAUAUUACAACUAAUUACAUAUGCCUUUAUUUUAUUGUUUACUUCAUUUGUUAAUAAACUUAAAAUAAUAACUAUUUUUACA